rnacentral:rRNA from 1 species
GACGAACGCUGGCGGCGUGCUUAACACAUGCAAGUCGAACGAAGUGGCGAACGGGUGAGUAACGCGUAAUCAACCUGCCCUUCAGAGGGGGACAACAGUGGGAAACGACUGCUAAUACGGCAUACGGAAGGAGGGGAUGGCGGCGGAUUUGCUAUUUGGAGGGGUAACGGCCUACUAAGGCGAUGGUCAGUAGGCUGUCUGAGGGGAUGGACCGCCACAUUGGGACUGGGCAACGGCCCCGGCUCCCUCGGGAGGGAGCAGGGGGGAAUCUUCCGACAUGGACGAAAGUCUGACGGAGCCACGCCGCGUGAGUGGUGGCGGCCUUCGGGUUGUAAAGCUCUGUUCAUCGGGGCGCGUUACCGGCAUAGAAAGCACCGGCUAACUACGUGCCAGCAGCCGCGGUAAUUC